GAUUUCUGGUUUAAUGCACCUGGCCCGCAGCCACUAGGCUUGUGAGUGCCGGCGCGCGUUUACCAUCCUUCUAGAAAACGAUUCUGCCAUUAACUUGGUUGGGAUCGCGAUCUAGAUCUUUUACUUUGAAAAAAUUAGAGUGUUUAAAGCAGGCUUUUGCUAUGAAUACAUUAGCAUGGAAUAAUAAUCUAGGACUUCGGUUCUAUUUUGUUGGUUUCUAUAACUGAAGUAAUGAUUGAUAGGGAUAGUUGGGGGUGCUAGUAUUGGCCGGCCAGAGGUGAAAUUCUUGGAUUCGGUCAAGACUAACUUAUGCGAAAGCAUU
rnacentral:rRNA from 1 species